rnacentral:rRNA from 1 species
AACGAACGCUGGCGGCAGGCUUAACACAUGCAAGUCGAACGGGUGUAGCAAUACAUCAGUGGCAGACGGGUGAGUAACACGUGGGAACCUUCCUAGGGGUACGGAACAACUCAGGGAAACUUGAGCUAAUACCGUAUACGUCCGUAAGGAGAAAGAUUCAUCGCCCCUAGACGGGCCCGCGUCGGAUUAGGUAGUUGGUGGGGUAACGGCCUACCAAGCCUACGAUCCGUAGCUGAUCUGAGAGGANGAUCAGCCACACUGGGACUGAGACACGGCCCAGACUCCUACGGGAGGCAGCAGUGGGGAAUCUUGGACAAUGGGCGGCAACCCUGAUCCAGCGACGCCGCGUGUGUGAAGAAGGCCUGCGGGUUGUAAAGCACUUUUAGUGGGAUGAAAAGUACAUCGCUAAUACCGGUGUAUCUUGACCUAACCCAAAGAAAAGACACCGGCUAACUCUGUGACAGCAGCCGCCGUAAC